rfam:Deltaproteobacteria bacterium RIFOXYD12_FTLL_50_9 rifoxyd3_full_scaffold_742, whole genome shotgun sequence.
GUUUUCCGGGGCGAAUUCGCCCCGGCCUCAUUGAAGC